CAAAGACUUAAGGCUCAGCCUAGAGGAGAUCAUUGGCUCAUCUCACCCAGCAGGCAAUAUUUCAACAAUAAAGACCACAGAAGUUCAGCAUUUAGCCUUACUCUGAGUCCUGCCAUGCCGUGUCUAACCCACUCCUCAUAGAAAAGCAGCCGGCGAUGACCAGCAGGGGAUGGGGAUGAUCUGUUAGGGAGGAUCCCUCAGAAUUUCAAACAUUUAUCCUCCCCAGAAUUAACCAACUGUACAAACGUCAAAAGUCUUUUUGGCAGAACUUUCAGCCACUUUCUUGGACAGCUUUUUCCUUGUUCCUUAAAAAAAAAAUAACGCAGACUGCUGGCUCAGAGAAAUAGGCUAAAAAACUUUAUUGUUCCACCUUUGUCAGAGUUCAUUUUCUAGAGAUAGGCAUUUCUAUAACUGAAGUUAAUGUCAGGCCUCUAAGAAGCUGAGGUUUCUAAUGUGGAGUAGCAAAAAAACCCUCCCAAACCAAUCUCCUGUUUUCAGUAGGGCGGCUGCGCAGUGGGAUUAGGGUCAGUUAGAUCUUCCACCUCCUUUUCCUGUGUUCCUUGUCCUCAUUUCGUGCCAAGCUUUCACCAGCGGCUCUCUGUUCUUCCAUAUGAGCUCAUGGCCGUAAGUCACGUACCACAUUCCGAAUAGAGCUCCCCCUAGAUGUGCAGCAUGGUCAAAAAAUCUCCAGCCCAGAGCAAGCCCUGCAGUGUCAAAUGCGAUUAUGGCU
rnacentral:lncRNA from 1 species